rnacentral:rRNA from 1 species
GAAUCUUCCACAAUGGGCGAAAGCCUGAUGGAGCGACGCCGCGUGAGUGAAGAAGNUUNNCGGAUNGNAAAACUCUGUUGUAANNNNNGAAAAAGUACANUAGUAACUGGCUGUACCGUGACGGUACCGUAUUAGAAAGCCACGGCUAACUACGUGACAGCAGCGGCGGUAAUACGUAGGUGGCAAGCGUUGUCCGGAAUUAUUGGGCGUAAAGCUCGCGAAGGCGGUCCUUUAAGUCUGAUGUGAAAGCCCACGGCUCAACCGUGGAGGGUCAUUGGAAACUGGGGGACUUGAGUGCAGAAGAGGAAAGUGGAAUUCCAAGUGUAGCGGUGAAAUGCGUAGAGAUUUGGAGGAACACCAGUGGCGAAGGCGACUUUCUGGUCUGUAACUGACGCUGAGGCGCGAAAGCGUGGGGAGCAAACAGG